rnacentral:lncRNA from 10 species
ACCAGAGCUCUCGGAGAUCAACAAAGGUGCCGCUUUUGAAUGUGAAAGUUUUUUCAAGACUUUUCUAUUUCUUGGUUUGAAUCGUGUGCCUGUAGGGACACAUGCUACCUGCUUACUGGACAGUGACUACUUAGGAUAAGGACUCAGGCAAACACACAAGUGGAGAAGAUAAAUAGUAAUUUGGAACCAAAACUCAGGACGUCCCAGGAGAGGCUAGAUUAGGAAUUCUUUGAUUUGGGAUCACGAAAAUGAAGUAUCCAUAUUUUAACAGAAUGAUUAGUGGCAGAGGAAUCAUCUAAGAAAACUGAGAAGACUCUGCCAGAGUGAUGGGAAGAAAACUAGAUGAGAAAGCACCAUUCUGGAAGACAUGCUCCCAUGAACCAUGGAGAGAAGAGGAGAGGGAAGAAGUUAUUUGUGAUGUCAUUUGCCUGUGUCAUGGCCUGCCUUCCCUAGAUAUUGUCCUAAUGUGAGCAUCACACCUAAGGUACUGAAGUAGAGUUCUGGCUGUUCCUUACGGACAUCUCUGGUGAGAUGAGAUCUUGCUAUGUUGUCCCAGGGUGGUCUCAAACUCCUGGCCUCAAGCAAUCCUCCUGCCUUGGCCUCCCAAAGUGCUGGGAUUA